CGUAGGGUGGCAAGCGUUAAUCGGAAUUAUUGGGCGUAAAGGGCGCGUAGGCGGCCUUUCAAGUGACGGGUGAAAUCCCUCGGCUUAACCGAGGAACUGCCUGUCAGACUGGAAGGCUUGAGACCGGGAGAGGUGAGUGGAAUUCCCAGUGUAGCGGUGAAAUGCGUAGAUAUUGGGAGGAACACCAGUGGCGAAGGCGGCUCACUGGACCGGUACUGACGCUGAGGCGCGAAAGCGUGGGGAGCAAACAGGAUUAGAUACCCUGGUAGUCCACGCCGUAAACGAUGAGUGCUUGGUGUAGCGGGUAUCGACCCCUGCUGUGCCGAAGUCAACACAUUAAGCACUCCGCCUGGGGAGUACGGUCGCAAGACUG
rnacentral:rRNA from 1 species